rnacentral:rRNA from 1 species
AACGAACGCUGGCGGCAUGCCUAACACAUGCAAGUCGAACGAUGCCUUCGGGCAUAGUGGCGCACGGGUGCGUAACGCGUGGGAAUCUGCCUUUCGGUUCGGAAUAACUCAGGGAAACUUGAGCUAAUACCGGAUAACGUCGCAAGACCAAAGAUUUAUCACCGAAAGAUGAGCCCGCGUAGGAUUAGCUAGUUGGUGAGGUAAAGGCUCACCAAGGCGACGAUCCUUAGCUGGUCUGAGAGGAUGAUCAGCCACACUGGGACUGAGACACGGCCCAGACUCCUACGGGAGGCAGCAGUGGGGAAUAUUGGACAAUGGGCGAAAGCCUGAUCCAGCAAUGCUGCGUGAGUGAUGAAGGCCUUAGGGUUGUAAAGCUCUUUUACCCGGGAAGAUAAUGACGGUACCGGGAGAAUAAGCCCCGGCUAACUCCGUG